GUUGAUCAUGAGUUUCUAUAUUUGAAGUGUUUCAUUUCUCUUAAGAAUGGCUGUUUUUUAUCUUCCAUCAUUAUGUAAUUAUAGCUUGAACUUAUUUUAGUAUGUGUUUGUUUCAGACUAUGUGAAUGUUUGAGAUUAUCGUCUCUAAUUACUAAGAACAAUUAUGUAUUGAAUUUGACUUAUUUCAAUGCAACCUUAUCCAACUUAGUCAGGCAUAUAUUUAUAUAAUUUAGCCUGAAACAUAUAUUCUAUAUCUGUUA
rnacentral:lncRNA from 1 species